rnacentral:rRNA from 1 species
UAAAAUUACGAGCGAAAGCUUAAAACUCAAAAGACUUGACGGUGUUCCAACCUACUUAGAGUGAGCCUGUUCCAUAAUCGAUAAUCCACGAUAAACCUAACCACCCAUUGAAAUAUCAUGCCUAUAUACCGCCGUCGGCAGCCUACCUUCCAAAAGAAUAAAAGUGGGCUAAAUAGUACCACCCUCAAAAAAGUCAGGUCAAGGUGUAGCUAAUGGGGUGGCGACAAUGGGCUUACAUUUUUUACAAUAAAACACACGGACUAGUUCUUGAAAAAGGACUAUAAAUGGCGGAUUUAAUAGUAAGUCAAAAAGAAUGCCUGACUUAACCCAGCUCUGGAACACGUUACACACCGCCCGUCACCCUCCUCAACACCACCUCAACCCUAAAUAAAGCAUCAAUUACACAAAAGAUGGGGCAAGUCGUAACAAGGUAAGCGUACUGGAAGGUGUCGCUUGGAUAAAC